GGAUUAAUUUAUUGGUCGUGCUAUUGUACGUACUGGUAUUAUUGAUUCCUACCUUCUGACGAACCAUGAUGUCAUUAAUUUGGUGUCAUGGGGAAUCAGGACUGUUACUUUGAAAAAAUUAGAGUGUUUAAAGCAGGCACCACACGCCUUGAAUACUACAGCAUGGGAUAAUAGAAUAGG
rnacentral:rRNA from 1 species